CUAUGUAAACUAAGUCAGUAAACCAGAUCAGUGCAGGAACCACAAAGUAAGUAAACUAAGGAAGUAAACCACCCGACCUCUGUUAUUGAUUAGUCACAAGUGCUUCUAUACCUAUGGCUCCGAUACCUAAGUCAACUAAUGGAAUUCCCUUCUUCUUUCUUGCUCUAGGGUACGGGUGGCUUGGCUCGAUAACAAGUAUAAGCAGUGAGUUGAGUAGUUAAUGCCUUAGUAGUAGUGGGUAGUUAAUGCCUUAGUAGUAGCGGAUUGGCUAGUAGUGUCUUGGCUGAGUUUAUUAUUAUAGUUGUGUUUGAGGCCUUGGCUCUCCGAGUUACUUGUCUAGUAGUUGUUUGGCCUCUGAUAUUACUCUAUUCCUUUUCAAUACCCGAGUUAGAAGAGAUGGAGGCAAGAAAAGAAGAAUGUACUGGUAAACAUCUGGACUUACUACUUGCUUGAAUCCUUAGAGCUGUGGUUUGGUUAGUUACCGAGAAUACAUAACUUGAAGGUAAGAAAAAGAAGAAUGAGCUCUGUAUCAAAGAAAGGAAACUCCAUUAAGGUAUUCUGACUUAAGCCAAAAGUCACUACUACAAAUACUAAGAAAGGAAGGAACUAUUAUGUGGAGGAAGGAACAAGCAGAGCGUGACAAGCAACAGUAUCAGGAGAAGAUUCAGUUCGGGAAUAAGAUGGAUCUGGAGCAAUAGAUGGGUGUUAGGUUUAGUUAUAUCUAUAUUGGGGUGGGAGGCAAUACUCUUCCCAUACUGUUUCAUCCCCUGGAAUUGAACGUACUUUGUCAGGGCAAGAAGGCAGACUCAGCAGACUACUGAAGGAGCAGUGCGAUUAGAGUCUCGGGUACCUAUACAAGAGCAGAGGUCGAGUCAACCACUACAGGGGAAAGCCAAUUAGUUCCACAUAAAGAAAGGAGAACGGCCAACUAGUAGUAGUCUAGACUUACCGCAAUUUGUACAUUAAUUAAUAAGCCUAGUAACUGACUUCGGGCUUACUCCUUCACUACUGAGUUCCAUUCUUCCUUUCUAGUUUCGAGCACUAGGUUCUAGAUACGUUGGUUGUCUCUUUUUCCUAUAGGUGUUUUUCAAGUGUUCAUAUCCCAACUAAGUAGCAGCUUAAUAGCGUUAGUGAGCUCAGGCAUAGAAACAAGUGGAUACCCCGCUCCUUUCCUUCUCUUUCAACUUUAACUACAUAUUCUCUUUCGUCGCUAACAACAAUAAGAGGAACAACAGGACAUUCUUUUCUCUAAGACAAAACAAGAACACUACUUGAAGUUCAUCAUUGAAUUUCAUAUCUAUCUUAUCGAGCACAAGGUAUAGAAGAAGACUGUAAAGCUUAUCGAGCACAAGGUAUAGAAGAAGACUGUAAAGACACAACUUACCUACCCUUCUUUGGAAUCUGAUCUAUGACUUGCCCCAACACCAACAAGCGCCACUGACCUAACAGCUUUCCUUGCCGACCUCCUCUUUCAGUUCAGAAAAUCCGAUUGAUUGAAGAUUCCCUCUUGUAUACUAACAACGAGCUUCUUUCCCUUGAGACUAAACCUGCGCUGGAGAAGGGGAAGAGCCAAGCUACUCUAAAUCUGGUGUUACAAAAGAAGCAAGGGAACCCGCAUAAAGCCUAAAAGAAUGCAAUUGAAAGCGAAUUUCCGAGUUUCCAUCAUUUCCACUAAGAAACUUGCCAACGAAUGCAUUUCUGCCUAUAAUCUUUAUGGCCUAUAAACUCUCAUAUCUUCACCUCUGAUUCUCUAACUACUGUUCCACUCUGCAACUCUUGUAUGAAACCUAAUCUUCCACUCAGGCAUUCCUACAAAUAAUCAUAAGGGAUCAACUAACCACGCUAAAACAUCUUCUGAACCCCCACCUUGCUCGUCUCGAGUCACUGUCCCUCUUUCAGAGCCUCGUCUAUUAUUAGAAAGAGCAAACACACUUCCUUCUCUGGGGACUAGAAUUCCAGUAUGGAAGGUGGCAUGGGUAGAUUCGAUUCGAGGGUUGGGCUUACGGAUAGAAGCUAGGGUAUCAUGCAAGUGGUUAAGAACGGAAAGUCGAGAGAGGAGAGGUCGACAAAAGAACCAGCAAGGGAACCAGUAUCUGGCCGGAAGUAUCCUUCUGUUCUCAAGUAAUCAUGGAGAUUGGUUAGUUACCCGAUUCUAUCAUGCCUAGGUCGAGAACAAGACUGAUUCCGUUACGGAUCUAUCUUCUGCUGGAACUCAACUUUACUGAGCUACGGGCUACAAGAGCAAUCCAAUCACCUAUUUCUAGAACAAGGUAAGGAGGCUACGCACUGAACCAACUCACUACUCGGUCGGUUAAGGCUUGAAUACCAGAUUGAGAUAGUUUUAGGCGAGGUGGGCCAAGGAAAACAACCAAGCGACUAUACAAGUCACUACUACAGUGAGUUAUUCGCAAGUACAGCAUCAAAGAAAGUCACUUGAAGUAUGGAAUGCAUCACUCAAUGAGUCAGUAUAUGAAUGAUGCAUCACUCAAUGAGUCAGUAUAUGAAUGACAUUUGUAAGCUCUCUAUGUAGCUGCUUGUUAUCAACAAUUUCGUUCUCCUUUUUGGUUUUGGUGGUGGUUCGAGUUUGCGCUGGUGGGGGAAGCGGGGAUAGUCAUAUUCUAUGGGGAAGCAGGGAUAGUCAUCUUCUAUUGUUGAUUAGAUCUUUCUGAUUAUUGGUUUACUACUAUUUAUUUCCAUGAAAAUGGUAGGACGUCAUAUAGCACCACAGGCGAGAAACCUAGUUGAUCCAUAUAGCCUGCCUUUAAGGGGUUCCGUUCAAGGAGUUACUUAGUUGAGCUCGGGUUUUGAGUGAACAGUCGCUUUCCUAAUAAAUGAAAUACAUUCUCAGAAUACUAUUCGGUAGCCGAGUUGGUCUGACUCAGCAAAUGUACAAAGAAAGCGGGCAUCUCCACGAUAUACUAAGCCUGCGUGAUCUCUCAUCCCUCCGACCCACCUAUGCUUAUAUUAUUCCCUUCACUGGUUUAUCGACGAGUCUACUGGCAUCUCGAGCUGUAGUAUAUGUCACUGAAAAGAUAUGCCACUAGACCAGGUGCUCUUGAGAAAGGCAACGAACCUUAUAACGGGGGGUUUCAAUUGAUUCUUAUGAGGGGGAUGCAUCUAAAUACGCGUAUGGAACCACAAUCUCUGCCGCUAGCUUUGCACUCGUAGGAUAAGCAGGUCCCUUGGUGGAACCGAGCGAAGUGCGGAAGCUAGAGCUAAGGCAAGGUACGAAGCUACCAGCAAUUAAGCUGCUUUGGUAGUACUCGACAGAAAGGAUAGGGCUUUGCUGCUGCUGUCCAACAAGUUUCAGAGUUUGCUAAAAAAGACAAGUAAGGAGCGAGUCAGGUCUACUCCACGUAGCCAAGUCUUGUCAAAGCCAAAAAGGCUCUUGCCAAACUAAAACCAGUUCCUAAAGGACAGGAAUAGCUAAUCCGCAAGCUAGAAAGAAACAUAGAUGAGAUUACACCCCUAUCAGUGCAACGGCCGCUUUCUCCCCAACUAAAGCCUAAAAGAGGACAGGGCAUAAGCACUCUUAUACCUGGCCUUAGACUGCUACGGUUAGCUCUUGACCCAGGACUGGCUAUCUCUCAAUCAAUGUAUUCACGCAUCUCGAAAGAGUGAAAAGCGAAUUCCCUACCAGAGCGGAAAUAGCCGGGCUUCUUCAAAGGGAAUGCUCACUCUCCGGGUAAGGCAAGGCUAACGUUAGAAAAGUUGUUCUAUUCCUCAGUCUGGUUUGCGGAAUAAGUAAGCAUGAAGCUUGCCUGAGAAAAGCCGUAGAAAGAAAAGAAGGGCGGAAGCUACGAGUGAACCAGAUCGACCUGAGAGGGAGUCCCAGGAAACGGUAUACGAAAGAAGGUCUACUUUACGGGGAUGGAGUGUGCAGACUUCGGUUGAAGCGUCCAGACUCCGUUAGUGAAAAGAAUAUAGGACUAAGAUAAGAAGAUCUGUUUCUCUUAAUCAGAGCGCAUUCGUCUCGUCUAUCGGUCCUUAGUCUUAGAGAGAAAUUGGUGGUGGCCACUACGUCAAGAGAAAAUCUGCUCUUUCGAUUCUAUUUUCCUCGAUGAGUUGAAGGGACUCCGAAGCUUCGACCGUACCCUCUUUCUUUAGUAGCGAGUUUCACUUGAAAGAUAUCAUUGAUUUUCACCAAGAGAGAAAGUAGAAGCGCUAACUCACUAGACGAACAAUCGACCCUAGGGAUCGACCCGAUUCCGCCUGCGAACAUCACUUCCUAUAGUUUAAGGUAAUGUUGGGGUCUGCCGCAUCUGAUUCCCCAGAAACGAGAAACCUUCACAUCAAUGAAGGAAUGCAAGUCCUGUUUUCAGCAAUAAGUAGCUCUCAAUCAGGCGUUCAAACAGGAUUAAGGGAAGAGAAACAAGAUUAUCCGCGUUAACAGGAGUUGUUGAAUGAUUAGUUUACUCAACAGGCUAAAGGGAAAGGAAAGUAGAAAGCGUAGAAAGAAGCUCGGCUCGGGCUCGGAUCGUGUAGUAUAGAAAUGGGGUAAUUAGAGCAUCACAGUGCAGAAAUAGAUGUUUGAGUUGACCACUUCAUAUUUGUCAGGGAAAGAUUCCCGUCCGGGUUUCGGCUAAGGUGUGAGGCGCUAACUGAGUUAAUAGGUAUAGGUGUAUUCCUUCAAGGAGUUAAUAGGUAUAGGCUUUCAGCACCUUCAAUAUAUAGCUUCAGUUCAAUCUCAUUCCGCACGUAAGGAAGUUGCCAUAUUCCAUUCUUCACUGAAAAGAGGUAAGUCAACUUCAGAUUGAACUCCUCUCUUGAACUCCUAAGAUACGACUUUCUUUCUUGACCUAGUUAAGUACUACUUGCUUUCUUGCCCUAGUAGUAGCGCUAUGUGUUCGGGAGAAAGAGUUCAAAGAUACUGAGUUUUCAGCCUUAAUGAGUAGGGGAGCCCUGUCUACCAAACUUUCAUUCUCUCUUAUAUCAGAUUCAAGAUGAAACAAGGGAUUUUCAUUAGAUACAAGGGAGCAGGAAGGUAUACACGCGUGGUAUCUCUUCCCCUAAGGAGAAUCUGGAUUUUGACUAUUCUGUAUUCUGACUUUGUAGUGGAAUUCUUUCAUAUACGAUUUCAUCUCUAGAUACUGCAGACAGAUUAGUAGUGACUUUGCUCUGGUAUUCUUACUUAAGAGAACUACUUUCAACUACUAUACAAGCAACUUCAACUAGAAAGGAUUAUUCUCUCGGCUAGGCUUCGGCGGAUGACUUAACUGCUUCCCUUGCCUAGGUACUAGAAAUAGGCGCAAUAGGAAAUAGCAAGUAGGUAGUGGCUUUUCAAACGGAUAUUCCCGGGGCAGGAGCGGUUCGUUCUAGUUUGUAAGCCUACAGUAAGUGCUCUAUCGGUCCGGAUCGAUCAGCUCGCUUUCAAGACAAGAGUGAGUGGAAUUCUCUCCUUUCUAUAUUCCUGUCUAACCUAUCUUCAGUAAGACAAAUAGGGAAGACAUCACAUAACAUAGAGUCCAUCGCUUCCACCCUGGUGGUCUAACUCACCGCUAUGGUAAGCCUUAGGUAAGGAAUAACUUAUCCGGGUUGUCUACUCGUCAGGAAGUGGAACUACUAAUUAAUGGGAAGCUAUUGAGUCACCCUAGAAGCAAGAGNNNNNNNNNNNNNNNNNNNNNNNNNNNNNNNNNNNNNNNNNNNNNNNNNNNNNNNNNNNNNNNNNNNNNNNNNNNNNNNNNNNNNNNNNNNNNNNNNNNNNNNNNNNNNNNNNNNNNNNNNNNNNNNNNNNNNNNNNNNNNNNNNNNNNNNNNNNNNNNNNNNNNNNNNNNNNNNNNNNNNNNNNNNNNNNNNNNNNNNNNNNNNNNNNNNNNNNNNNNNNNNNNNNNNNNNNNNNNNNNNNNNNNNNNNNNNNNNNNNNNNNNNNNNNNNNNNNNNNNNNNNNNNNNNNNNNNNNNNNNNNNNNNNNNNNNNNNNNNNNNNNNNNNNNNNNNNNNNNNNNNNNNNNNNNNNNNNNNNNNNNNNNNNNNNNNNNNNNNNNNNNNNNNNNNNNNNNNNNNNNNNNNNNNNNNNNNNNNNNNNNNNNNNNNNNNNNNNNNNNNNNNNNNNNNNNNNNNNNNNNNNNNNNNNNNNNNNNNNNNNNNNNNNNNNNNNNNNNNNNNNNNNNNNNNNNNNNNNNNNNNNNNNNNNNNNNNNNNNNNNNNNNNNNNNNNNNNNNNNNNNNNNNNNNNNNNNNNNNNNNNNNNNNNNNNNNNNNNNNNNNNNNNNNNNNNNNNNNNNNNNNNNNNNNNNNNNNNNNNNNNNNNNNNNNNNNNNNNNNNNNNNNNNNNNNNNNNNNNNNNNNNNNNNNNNNNNNNNNNNNNNNNNNNNNNNNNNNNNNNNNNNNNNNNNNNNNNNNNNNNNNNNNNNNNNNNNNNNNNNNNNNNNNNNNNNNNNNNNNNNNNNNNNNNNNNNNNNNNNNNNNNNNNNNNNNNNNNNNNNNNNNNNNNNNNNNNNNNNNNNNNNNNNNNNNNNNNNNNNNNNNNNNNNNNNNNNNNNNNNNNNNNNNNNNNNNNNNNNNNNNNNNNNNNNNNNNNNNNNNNNNNNNNNNNNNNNNNNNNNNNNNNNNNNNNNNNNNNNNNNNNNNNNNNNNNNNNNNNNNNNNNNNNNNNNNNNNNNNNNNNNNNNNNNNNNNNNNNNNNNNNNNNNNNNNNNNNNNNNNNNNNNNNNNNNNNNNNNNNNNNNNNNNNNNNNNNNNNNNNNNNNNNNNNNNNNNNNNNNNNNNNNNNNNNNNNNNNNNNNNNNNNNNNNNNNNNNNNNNNNNNNNNNNNNNNNNNNNNNNNNNNNNNNNNNNNNNNNNNNNNNNNNNNNNNNNNNNNNNNNNNNNNNNNNNNNNNNNNNNNNNNNNNNNNNNNNNNNNNNNNNNNNNNNNNNNNNNNNNNNNNNNNNNNNNNNNNNNNNNNNNNNNNNNNNNNNNNNNNNNNNNNNNNNNNNNNNNNNNNNNNNNNNNNNNNNNNNNNNNNNNNNNNNNNNNNNNNNNNNNNNNNNNUGCGCGUCCCAAAGCUUUAAUAGAGAUGCAAGUACUGUGCCUAUGACCUAAUCCUUAUUACUUCUAUUCUUCCUCAAUAAGGAAAGAAAACUCCCUUUCUUUCUCUAUUCCCCCUCGGAUAUAACUUGAAACUAUCCUUGUCUCGUGAUCUACUCAAUCAAUGAUCUUGAAACACUGCGAAUUCUUUCCUUUAUGGCAUGCCAAAGCAAGGUAAGCGAUCUAUUCUAUCAAUUGUAUUUCCAAAGAAUGCCAAAGCAAGGUAAGCGAUCUAAUCUAUCAAUUAGCCUACGGAACCAAAGCUGCAUCCAUGCCCCCGACCUUGGAUCUUGGAAAAUGUAGGUAUACUCACUGAAGCAAGCACUAGUGAAGGAAAGACGUACAGCGAAUCUGGAACAUCGGGAUCUUGUUCACUCUGACUACGUAACCUGUACUUUGCCUAUUACCUCAUAUCCUAAGCUAAGGCAAAGAGCGGAUUCUCCGACAUUGAUCUGACUGUUGACUCUAUGCUUUUUCCUAAGACAGUGGAUUAUCCAUCUAAGACAUCCUUUUCUAGGCCACGCAUCAGACUAGGAAUUCCAAAGCUCCGAGUUAGCUGCCCGACAGAUAAUAUCAUACCGGCCACUCCCUAUUUCUCUUUCUUAUAAUAUCAUACCGGCCACUCCCUCUUUAUCUUUCUUUAAGGCAAAGUUUCAUUGACGAGCGGAUCUUGGACUUGCAAUCAUUGAGUUAAGAUUCCGAGCUGCCCCUGAAUUCAUCCAAUUCUUUCCUGGGAAGGGCUAACAUCCGCCAAUUCCAUGACUUUACUUACUUCUGAUUUGGAAUGAAUCAUCCAAUGAAUAUCCAUCCUUCAAGGCUUUCUAAGGGCUAACGGAACUUGCUUUCUACUGGGAUUCUUUCUUUUAUCAAGGUUUUCCUGAAAGCACUUACUCAAUGCUAACCUCUAUAACCAAAGAAAAGAGCGGAUCUCUGCUUACGAAUGCCAAAGCUCUCUAUCCCCGGUACCAUCCUUCUUGAUAUUUCCCAUUGGCUUUACCUUAUUUACAGGUCGACUUCAUGGCAGCAAGAAAAGGCGAUCUUAUCCUAUACUCUGGUGAUCUCUUUACUACCGAGGCAGGCAAACUCCCAUCGUGUCCCAGAUCCAAUUCUUUAUCUCUAAAAAGGGAAGCCUACUCAUCCAUUAGCUCUUCUCUACGAUCGGUGCGGUUUGUUUGACGAAGCGUCUAAGUUAACUAGCCUUGAUCAAUGUUGAUGCUGACUAAAGCUGACCUCUUCUCUUAUACACUGAUAGCAUUCUUUCCCACACUUAAUACCUCCUUUUCCUUAUUCUUUAGGUAAGGCUUAUAGAGGGCCAGGCAUAGUGGGAGCAUCCUGUCGACAAGAUAUUUGGCUUGACCAAUCCGUGCCCUCCAAGUCGAAUGACGUUUUCACCGAAAUCACUUCUUGCGCUAUAAAUGCCUUUCCCAUUUUAUGACCAGAUAUUGUUUCUUUAUAUUUCCUUUGAAAAGUGGUCUCGGGACUUUUUCUCAAUAGGAGGUUAUCAUUGAAUAUAAGACAGAGUCAUUCUGGCAAUCAAAUCUUCCUUCCGGGUGUAAGGCGUAAGCCCCAGAAAUAUGGUGCAAAAAUAGGGUGCGGAUCGAAUCACUAUGCCUAUCUUAGUAGUCUUUCUUAUUGGAGGACUCCUAUUCCUCUGAUAUUGAUAAGAAGCAUCCAGCAGCUCGUUUAGAAUUCGAUUCAAAGUCAAGUCUCACCUUCACCUUUAUGGGUUGUUGUCGAAGAAAGUUUUCAAUACUAGCUCUUUCUUGAUUUCUCCGAAAGGUAUCUUUUGAUAAAUAGAGAUAGACGCCUAAGUAAUAAGAACGGAAUACGAAACUUCCCCAUUAUCCAUACUAUAGAGCUAGGAGGAAGGCUAUGAAGGAAUUCCUUAUACGAAUUAGGAUUGUACCCAACCAAAAGAACCCUUCGGGCGGCAGAGGAAAAAGAAAGGAGAAACGAAACCCCUGUGACCGGUUGGCUGUGUGCGCCACGGAGAAGAGCCAUACCCUGAGGAAGCUUACCCAACUCAGCGCGCCAAGCUCGAAAGUCACUAAGAGACAAGUCGACAACUAGGUGAAUUCUGUUACUACUGAGUAAGCCUACAGAUUGCCCGAACUGAGUUACUACUUAGGAGUAAGCCCACUGAUGAGAGAUAGAACUUCUACUUAUGAGUAAGCCCGAACUCAUACUUAUGAGAGAUAGAACUCACUGAUACAUUAUUAUAGAAUGUCGUUGCUUGUUAGCCCUCUUGUUAAUACUGAGAUGAUUUCCCGCCUUCCCCUUUACUUGACUUUAAGUAAGCUGUGUUUUUCAUAAAUUCUAUCUAAUGGGAAGAGACAUGUAUGAUUAUUGUUCUGUUAUUUACUAGUGGAGUUAUUUUCUUUGAUUAGUUAUCGAAUAUCAGAGUGAUUUCCAUAGUAUUGGGUGCGGGUCAAAAGGAUCUUAUAGAAACUGUGCCUAAAUUCGAGCCAAGCGUAUACUAAUGCUAAAGGGCCGCUAUGAAUAAUGACAAAGUAGUGCUCUUCAUUCUGAUCAAUUCUGAAAGUAGGUGCUCUUAAUUCUCUUAAAGUAGUGCUCUUCAUUCAGAAAUUCUCCAUUCUGGAAUUAUUACUUGUGCAGGUAAAGUGUCUUUCUCUCUGUGCUAAGGUUAGCUUGUCGGGUUGGGCAAGAAGGAAAGGAACACGUAUACGGAGACUUAAUUCCAUACCUGAGUCGAGGUAGAUGAGAAAGCUGCUCCUUAGUGAAUAUAAGAAUCAAACCGGGGAUAGGAUCCUUCAAGUUGUAGUCCAGGCCCUACCUAUACAGGUCAAACAAGUAGGUGAUUCUGAAGCGGGGGAAUCGAAGUUGUAUCAGAAGCUGGAAGUAGAGAAUUGUUGACAGUUGCCAGAGAUAUAGGAGCCUUAGAAGGGACUUCAGAAUAAGGGAGCGGGUCUAAAGUCUCAGUAGUUCAAAUGAUUAUUAUAAGAUUGAAUUGACAAGUCAAAAGAUACUAGCAUAAGUUCAAGGGCCAAGCAACGGCAGGAUCUGAAGCAGUUACGUAUCAGUGCAAGCCAGGUCUGAAGCAGUUACGUAUCAGUGCAAGCCAGAGUCGAGGUAGAGUAGAAAGAGAGCAGUAGUGCUAGGGAAGGAAAUCAAUAAAGUCUAGUGAGUUUGAGUUCAAAGAGCCAGAGUAGAGCCAGAAAACCGCAUCUUCUUCCCUAAGUAAGCAAAAGGGAAGCAGUUCAGUAAGAAGGAGAGCCCAGUGCCAGUAAUAGUUCUAGGUCUAGUUUCACCUAUAAUAGCAUCCGUUUCCGUUCAAAGAUCUUAAGCUGUGCGGUAUCAAGGUGCAGCAUCUCUUUACGGUGGUUGUGUGAAAGCAUCUCAUUCCUCUGUUGAUGAAGCAGAAGCAUUCAAAUAAUGGAUUUCAUCUUUGUCUCCGGGUGGGGGUGGCUUUGGAGUUCUGUUAGCGAACGACUUUCCUUUCCAGGAAUUUCAACUCCCGUUAGCACAACGUCUUGUAUUGUUAUAGUUUAAGAACAGAUUGCAGCUUCCUUUAGCCUCGCAAAUACGGAUUCCACUCAGGAUUCCACAAUCCCUCUAUCUUCUUCACCAGAGUAUAGGCUUGCUUUAAUUGUCAAUAGCUUGUGAUUCGGAGUUGUCGACCAAGGAAUAGAGUAUGGAAGUGGAACACAGUCGAGUCUGCUCUCCAGGCUAUCUAAGACCUUUUCCGCCCAGAAGUUGGGUAAGACCUUUUCUGUAUGACCAAAGGAAUUAGGGCCUAUGUAGGAAGACCCUCCCCGCAAGAAAUCGGUACUUUCGAGAAGUUAGUCAAAGAGAAUGCCGACGCUGGAACUGUGGAGGCGACUCCUAUCCGGCGUAUUAGUGGUCGAAUUACUCUAUCUAUACAAGUCCGUUUUCAGAGACAGACUGACAAUGGCCUUCCUUUCUCUGCAUGAAAUAAAGCCUUUACAUACAAGGAAAGUUGUGUUCUAAUCUAUUGAGAACUCGGCAGCAAGGAAAUAUCUAUUGAUGACUGGGGGAGCAAGGAAAUCGAUUUACUGGGCAGCAAGGAAGGAGUUAGGUUACAAUGAACGAACUGCUUAUUAGAGAAAUAUCUCGACGGAGGCUCUUGCUUUGGUCUGUCUUUAGGGGAUUGUUCUUCACAGAGUUGGAUUCCAUUUCCUGAUAAAGAGAGAAAAGGAAAAACCUUCACGUAGCGCGGAUAUACUUGACAGAGUCGAAAGAGAAGGAAAGAUGUCAGGUUGGUUCAUUUUGUUCGGAAGAAACACUCCAGCUUGCUCAUUGGAAAUAGCCCGUAGCUUGCCCGUUGCUUGACAGCUUGCCGGUUCAGAAUGUUAUUAAUAAAGCAAUUGAACUUGCACCAAGUAUAUAAGUUGGUAAGAUUACCGAUGUUUCUAUACAAGACGGUAGACUUUAUAUAAGAGAUAUUGUUUUGAAAUAAGCAAGUUAGGAUCCGAAGUCGGUGUUAUAGAAUUAGAUACAAGAGCUUAAGCCUUAGCGCGGGUUGUUUUCAUUGAUCCGAUCUUGUUUCAUUGUUGUUAACAAAGGAAUCAUAUUUGUAUGCCCCGGUAUGGUAGGCUUAACUACUCAGUCACUAGAUCGUACCUAACCUUUAUUCUUCUUAUCCUGUAUGCACUGAAUGAUACCUCUGUUCGAAAGUCAAUAAGCAAUUUCAGAAUCGAAGAAGGAAGUCAAAGAAUGUAGGGCAAUAGCUAGAGGGUAGUCGGGGAAGCUAAGUCAGAAUAUAAGUCAGCAGUCAGGGAAUGAAAGCCAGAGUUGAGGUCCGGAAAGGCAGCCUAAUAGUAAGUAAAGAGCACGAAGCCAGUAAGGGACGCCCAAGAUACAGCAAAGUCAAGGCUAAAAGAGAGGAAUGCCAGUUUGUCUGUUAUUAUAAGAGAAUAUAUCUAAUGCAAAUGACUAUUAUAAGAGAAUAGAUAAAUGACUAUUAUAAUAUCAUAUAUAAAUGACAAAACCAACUCUAAUACAUGCGGAAGGAAUACUCAAUUGAAUCAUGAAAUAAACAAGUCAGAAUGCCGUAUAGGGUGGGCAAUAAAGUGACCUCACUGCUAAAUGAUCUUUCUUCUUAAGGUAAGCGCUUUCAACUCUCGCUUUUGUUAGCUUUGGAAGCUGAAGCCACAAACAAAUACUUCUCAUCUCUCCAGUACCGAGUCAACUCAUUCAUUUGCAUUUCAUCUUUCGUAUCGAGCACCUACACCUAGUAAAGAAAUCCGUAAAUAACACUAUCCCUUUUGUCGAACUUAACUUCACUUUCGGACCUGCUGACUUCUGCCUUUAUUCUUUCUUUCCCGCACCCCCGCCCGAACUAGGCUACGAACAAGAGCAUAGGUCGACUCAAACUCACUAACUAUGGGACUUAUUCUUAUCCUUAAUCCGCGUGAACUCUACUUGCAUAACCGACUCUACUUUCUGAUCCCGAUCAAGUAUAUGAUCUCGGCGCUACUGAUUCUCUUGACUUUCUCCACGCCAAUACCUAUGCUUGCAGCUGAAACUCUCACUGUUGAUGAACCCUCUUCUGAUCCCCUGAUCCCCUUAGCAAGCACAGCGUAUUCUCUUUCAACUUCCAAUCAAACUACUAGCUAAUUGAACUAGCACCGAUAAGACCUGAACCCAUAUACUACUAUGGAUAAGAAGAGUCCCACUCCUAACUCGACUCGGAAUGGAACUCAGAAGUAAGACCCACCCACGCAUAUAAGAAUUAGCGAUAUCGGAAUUAGGCAGUGCCCCUAACUAUUAUAUUAAUCAGAAUUGACACCACUAAUGGAAAUACCUUAACUCGGAACUCAGACUCGAACACUACCCCCAACGACUUAAACUACUCAUAGAAAGGCUGAAACAACACCUAAUAGAAUGGAACGACUUACUUGCCAACCCUCCAACCUCUGAAUCUUCAUAGUAGUUCUAAUACUCUCUAUUAAAGUAACCUAACUCCUUCUAUAUGAAAUUAAAGUAAAGUGACUUAACUCCUUUCUUUUCAUUCCAUCUACAAAUUCUAUAAAUUGAUGAAAACCACUUCUGACUGAACUCCGCUCGCCUCUUUCUUUCCCUGGAUGUUCUAUUCAAUGUAAGCUAUAUUCAUUGGCCCAUCCUCAAGUCAAUGGCCACUCCUAUCUUUCCUCCUUGUUGAGCUGAAUAUCAAGUUUCAAGGUGUUGUCAGGUAAGAUGUUAGUUAUACAGAGAAUCCAAUACAAACACUUAAUACAGAGAAUCCAACACUUAAACACGGAUUACAUUAAGUCCAACACUCACACACAUAAUAGAUAAUACUACUUUCUUUUGGAAAUGAGAAAGAAAGAGCGUAAAACAAAAUAUGUCUUUCGGAAUACAUAUGUGCUAAUGACAAAGAGCGGGGUAAGCCCUUCGGUGUGCUAAUGAUAAAGAGCGGGGUAAAUAUGACUUAGGAAUACAUAUGUGCUAAUGACAAAAGAAAAGAGCCACGUCAAUCAAUCCGCCAAAAACGGAGAGAGAGAGAGAUUCAGAAUCAGAAAUGGAUAAUAGGCUUAUAGAAACUCCUAAGGAGAGUUAUAGCCACAAUCCGUCUAUACCUUAUGCCAGUAAAGACAAUCGAACUCGCCUUCCUCCUUAUACGCUAUUCUUCUUUCACUUUGCUCUGCUCAAUCCAAUCUUAUGGAGGCAGAGACCACUGUGUUCGCUUGAAUCGAGCUAUAGAAGCUCUGUAACACUCUCUUUUUCACUAUGAAGAAAACAAACAAACACCUCUAAUCCUUUUCUUUUGUCCGAAGAAUCAGUAUUCAAUCCCCAGAGCAGUUGAGAAAGAAAGAGUAGUUGGUUUUCCCUGUAUUGAUAGCCCCGAGUCAGCAUUUAUGAGCUUAUCGGGUGGACACAACUAUUUGUUUUUUGAUAGUGAAGUCUGCUUUGUAGACCUUCUGCAAUACAGUAUAGCCUUUUCUUUGCCUUGUUCUCCGGGUCGGCUUGAAAUCCUUCUCAACGAUAGAUUCUUUUUUGUCACUGCCAUAAUACCCCUUCCUUGUUAUUGAGUUUGGUAACUUAUAUUCCCAUAAUACCCAUAUUUGUUAUUUAUUAGUAAAUCAUCAUCCCCUUAUUUAUUAAUAGCUAUCCGCCCGAUUCAAUAGAGAGCUGGUCCUUCAAUAAUCAGCACAAACUAGCCCCCAACAUUGAGCUAUCCCCACCGAAAGACAGACAGACCCAACAUUGAUGAUUGACCCAACAUUGAGCUAUCCCUACCGAAAGAAAAGGAAAGGGAUAGAAUAGGUUUUGUUACCAACUGGCCAUGAACUCGGCCAAGGGUAAAGAUGAUUCAGAAUAAAUGCAAUUGAACAGCGUUGUUUGUCCCGUUGCUUGUUUCUUUUAUUGUGCAAAUAGAAGAAGAAACCCGAUCCCGCCCAUCGUUGUCAUUGAUUACCAUUAACUGUACCUGACUAAAAGCUGUAACUACACGGGGAGAUUGCCUAUGCCUCUUUCUCGUUGGCUGUAGUUCAUCUCUGAUAGAAUAAGAGGGUAAGUGAGCGCUUUCAGUAUCAAGUUAGGGCGUUGUCAAUCAGUGUCAAAGUAUAUAGAAUCAGAGUCUAAAGUCAGCACUAAAGUCAGCGGAACUGGUCCAGUAGAAAGGUUCUGCUCCGCUCUCCCGUAAGCGCUUAAUAGAUGUGGCUUCUUCCUGCUCCGGAUCUAGUUUCUUAACGUCUUCGUUCUUAUCCUUAUUCAUAUCCUGCUCCACCUGGCUCUAAAUCCAAUAAUGGGAGCCUUAACUAUGUAGUUUGAGUUUGUUUCUUUCCUCUUCUAUUGCUUGUUGAGUUGCUUCUUGAAGAAUCAUAUAGCUUUUCAUUAUUAAGAUAAAACGAGUAACCAGACUGCUUACAUAAAACAUAUAUUACUCCUGGCACAAACUCACAAACGCUUGUUGGGCAAAAUCAUGGAAUUGAAGAUGACCCGCUUUUAUAUGAUACGAGCAUGAAAUAAGUGUGUGGCGCCCUUGAGACUUUACCUAAGCUGUUGAGAAAAGAGCUUAUAGAUAAGAAAGUAGACUUGAAGUUCCGCUUGCUACUGACUUGAGACUUAAGCGGUGGGUAUUCAUUCUUAAAGAGAUGAUCUUAUGCUUCAGAUCCAGCUCCAACUGCAACAACUAAUUCCACAAGAGGAGCCUCUUUUCAACGUUAUACGAGAUAAUACUUUACUUGCGAAUAACUCACUACCGAGCACGUAAAGCUUCUGAUCUUUCAACUCUUUCAAAAAGAGAAAGAUACUCAUCGCCUUAACCAACAGAGAAAACAGUACUUUCUUUUGGAACUGGACAUUCUCAUUCAGCUGCUGACUUUCGCAUACCUUUUUCCGACCUAGGCUUGAAGGGGAAAGGAACGAAAACAGGACAUCCUUCUUCCACAUAUGGAGUAAAAACACUGACUGCUAAGCUUCCUCUCUUUUAGCGUGUGAAAACUCCUAACUCGAAACACUCCCAUAAGUUGUUCCCUGAAACCACAAAGCUCACGUUAGCCCUUACUUAUUGAGUUUACUUAAACCACAUUGCUUCUUUUAAGAACUCUGCUAGGGCAGCUUCCUGCUAUACUCUCGUACCUCAUCAUUGCCUAAAGCUUUCACAAUGGAAAUUCAUCCAUGUGGUAUAGAAGUCAAGUAAACAAACACUGCACUUACUCUAAAGGAAGUAACUAAACAUAUUACAGCAGCUGGCUCUAAUCAAAUGCGCUGUUCCAACAAAUUCACUGAUGACUAUACAAAGCUUGUUCGUUCCCCGGAAAGUCACUUAUAACCUCAUAGCCUGUUUAAACCUCAUUGCUUACUGCAGGCUCUGGCUCUACCUGCUUACAGCUGACAAAACAAACUAGUUCCUUUUUUCUCCUGCCUAGAAGCUAUCUGAAUGGAAUAUCGGCGUGGGGUUCAGCGAAAUCAAUGAUUCAAUCAGGUUCAGCGAAAUCCAUGGUUCAAUAAAGAUGGAUGCCUGCCACCUAUUCUAUUAAUGAAGUCUCUGGUCUGCUCGCCGGUAAAGAAUCGAGGUCCCUAUUUUGUAAGAAAGAGAAAACUCUGCUGCCUAACCGAAACCUAUACUGACUAUAGUGAUAGUACUCUUUUAUCUUGCCUAAAGCUUGUAUACUUGAUUUACUUAACUCAAUAAGCAACAUUAUACAAAGCUUGUUUGUUCUGUUGCGCUUACGCGAGUUCUUUGCCCUUCUUUGUUGAAACACCGAAGCUAACGCACCCCACUUCUGAAUCGAAUAUAAGUCAAAAACCCCGCUGCUACACUUACUUAUUGAAUGGAAUGGAAUCUCCAUAGCAUCAUAUAGAAUAGUUUAACCUAACCUGGAAACAAGAAAUAGCGUUAGUGCGAAGAGAAGAAUAGAGCAUUACAAAUAGAGAAGCCCAGCAAAAGACUCCUGACUGCUUAUUAGAAAGAAUAGAAUUGAUAUGGAGGCACCUAAUAUAAGAGACUAGAGCAAUAGUAACUACACUCCGAAUGAGGCACCCAAUAUAAUAGACUAAAGCAAUAGUAACUGAACUCCGAACUCUGGUAACGAAUAUCAUAGGCGCCACUCCCAAACGCGCAACAACAACAAGCUUACUCACUUGUGCUUACGCUUACUUACUUGUGCUAGCGGUUACUCUCAGGGGCAUGUUAUGUUGAGUUCGAGCAAGGAUGUCCUUUAUUAUUGAGUAAUCUCUAACCAACUAAGAGAAAGAAGGUUCACCCAAGAAAGUCAAGAAAGUGGAUUUCCUAUUCCUCUGCCUUUGAAUUUGUAUAUUAGGGCGGUAAUAGUAAGCUGGCGGUGCUUUUGUGGUAUCCGUCAAAAAGCAAUGCUCUGUGAAAGUGACUCAUUUCUAUAACAAACAGGAGAGCACUAAAUUCCAUUCAAUAACCCUAACUUGACCGACCAUGUAAAGGGCCUGGAUAAGGAUUAUUUCACGAAGUUGAGUCGACAACUGCAAAUGGAUUAGAAGCAGCCGCAAGUCACGUAUCUCAUCUAAAGUAUAAAGUCAGGUAUCAAGUCAAGGGUGAGGGGCAGUCAAGAGCAGAAGCAACAGAAGAGAGAUAUUAAGCAGUAUCCGGUGAGGAGGUAGAACCCAGAUCUUGAAAGUCCAAAGUGCGGGUGUUGCUGACUCGAAUGAAGCAGCGGCUGGUUAAGGGAAGGGAAUAGAAUGAAUUGCUUGUUCAACUCCAAUGUAUUAAGAAUUCAUUGAAUCCAUCGAGCUCCCUAAAGCCAGUUCUGCAAACCUAUAUUUCUUUCUUUAUUGCUUGCUCGGCGUGCCCCUUUGCUUCUUUCUCUCUUCCGGCAUAAUCAUCUUUAUCAGCAUCCAACGCUCUAGCUCCAUACAAGAGUACUUUCUAGGCGCUCUUCCUAUCCUCUCCUUCUAUAAUGAAAGCAUCCUUUCUUUCCUAGCACCGACGAAAGCAUCCUUUCUUUCCUAGCACCGACCAAGGCAUCCCCUUUCCCUCAAAUACUUGUUCUAGAAACUAUGGCUUGUUCUGUGCGUACCUCAAUUCCUUCUUCAGCGCUAAGGGAAUUCCUGUCUUCAUCUUAAAGUCGAGUGAGCGGAGGAAUAAAGUACUGGUGCGCGAACGGGAGUUUUAGUUGAUUGACUCGUUCGUUGAUUUAGUAUAUAAAGGGUAUUUAGAGAUAGAUUCCAUUCCAGUAGUUUGGAGUGCGAGAUAUCUUCUUUUUGGAUUUUCCAUUUCAUUCUUUGUUUACUCUGUUAAAGAUAAGAAAUAACUGGUAGACUCGGUACUUAGGGAGUUUCUGCUUGAUGGAAAUUCCCAUUACAUGGAACACAUAAGUUCAGAAAUGCAUCUUUGAGUUGCGCUAACCAUACUUCUUGUAUGGGGUUAGGUGCUUUAGAGUUGUCGCGGGUAGGUGCUUUAUAGAGAACAAGUAAUCUGAAUCUACUAAGCAAGAAGAUCUUCCGCGCACUAAGCAAUCUUAUCUUCUUCAAUAGGAUCUUGAACUGGACGAACAGAACUCGUAUUUACUUCAGGACAUAUGUUAGGUUCUCUUGCUGGUUAAGUUGCGCUUACGUGAGCGGGUGCUAAUAUUAGUCAUGGGAGUGAAGUAUGUUAGAUUACUCAAUUAUAAGCUGCAGCGGGCGAAAUCCUAGAAUGUUGCUAUGAGAGAAGCGUCGAGAAGCUAAGGUAAAGUAUCAAAAAGGUUUCGUUUAGGCCAAGCCGAUCACGAUCAGAUGAAAGGGAAGCCGUGUGUGUUGUUACAAUUUCUUUCUAUACCAUGCAAAAGAUGUAUUCAAUUCCUAACUUACAGUAUAGUUUGAGUUAGCCGUUGCUGCUUUUUCUGCUAGAGCUCCUUUUCGUUUCAAAGUCUUAGAAUCGACAAGUUUUCACCAGCUUACUGAGUUAUUAGAGUUAACGCCAGAGUUAUUAGAGUGUUUGCGAGCCAUUGUAUAGAAACACGUAGAAACACGGGUCAUUACAGAUCUAUUCUGAAAUAAUGUAUGUUCCAGAUCUAUUCAGAAAUUCCAUUCAACCAGAAAGCGCUUCCGCAAGUAAAGUUCCUGUUCGAAAGUCAGCAAACGAUUCAUCAAGUAGAGGUCGGGCAAGACGAACAAGUGGUGGGAGUGUAGUUCGGGCAAGUUCCAUGUAGGGUUUGACUGGUUUACUCAGAACAACAAUACUUUGUUGAGAGAGAGGUGAAUCGACAAGAGAAUCCGCAGCAAGCUUAGAAGAAAGGUUCAAGCGCAAGUCCUAUUAUCUUUCGGGAGCUCACACAGCAUCAUAUCUGACUUUAGCCUAAAAUCCUUAUUGAGUGUCGAGCGCAGAAGAAGAACCUAUCUCGGCGUCAACUAAAACUUAUUCCACCUUUUAUCUAUCAUUGCCAACUAACAAGCAAGGGAAGGAGCUACUGCAGGACAAUAUGCCAAUUCCUCAUCACCCAUAGGAAAUGACUAGAAAUAUCCGUUUCAGCGUUAACCGACAGUUGGACCACUACCCGGGCCGGGCCCUCAUUCUGUACACCACCUAGCUUAUUGAGUUUGCACAUAUAGAAUAGUGUUUUGAGUUGGCACAGAUAGAAUAGGGCUUGUUCCACUAUCUGCUCUCGAGUCUAAUCCAGUUUAUGCUUUUGGAGAAAUAGAGGGAUCACCCCCUUUUUACCUUAAUAAGAGGCCAAACCUUGAGAAAUGGGGAAAGCAUCAUCCCUUUGAAGCCUUAAUUCGUGGGUAGCUUCCGGUCUAUAGAUUUGUAUAGUAGCGGUCGUUUUCUAGGAAAAGGUAGUGGGCUAUAUAUAUACUAUCUUUCUUAGUAGUACCAUCUUCAGUACGGGCUGGCUUAGGAAGUACCUUUAUAUUGUGAGCAGGCACAGUUCAAGUCAAGUGUUUCAAUUCUAAGAAAAUCCUAUACUAUCUAUCAUUAGUAAGCUUUGAAUGGGGGGAAAGGAAAGGAAAGAGGAAAGGUACUGCUAUUCAUCCCUAGAUUGAGAAAAUGAUGCCUGCUAUAAGUAUAGAUAAAGCAGAAGAAAUCCUAUAUGGGACAAACUCUGUAUCGCCUAGUAAAUGUGCUUAUCGAGAAUUAUGGAGUUGGUUGGAAGGAGUUGGAAAGCAGCUAUCUGCGCCCUUCCUCGUUUCUGGGUGCCUCCGCCCUUAUUCGCACUUCCGCCUCUUUCUUUCUCUUUAGAAUAUAAGGAAAUGCCUCGGGUAGGAAAACCAGAAUCAAGAGAGAACCUUUCAAUAGACUAAGAAAGAGAUGGUCGGCAGAUCUGACUCAUAAAGAGUUGUAAUGUUCCGGGGUCUCGCUAACCAACUCUGGUCCAGUAGCCAUUCUUAGUGGAGCAACGGAUAUAAGAAGAAGAGCAGCAAUCACUAACCUAUGAAAAAACAGCAAAGACGGCUUUCAUUGAUGGAAGUCAGUUAGAUAGCGGUCCUUUCCCUACGUGAUAGGAGACCAAUACAGCGAGGUCGCAGCGGGCUUACUCCUUUGUUAACCUGAAUCGGCCAUUGUCUUUUCCCCAGGUGGUAAAUAACUGACUUAGACUAUAGCGACCCUCAGAUCAGAAGAAAGAACAACUUCUCAAGAAAAGGAGGAGGAGCACACCAACUCUCAGAAGAAUUCCUGGCCUUGUUACAACAAUACGCUUCAAAUACUCCAUUAAUUAGGAAUUGGGCCAAAGACGAAAACAAACCUUCGAUUGGCUAAGAGAAGAUAAGUUCUAGGCUACGAGGUUAUUUACCCAAGAAAUAACGGUGAAUCUUGCUUCAUCGACUUUCCGCUUAGGAAGUAUUCUAUUUGGCCCCGAGUCCAUUGGCUUCAGUCGUGUCAAUGUCGGUGAUAUGGAGUUCAUUCCUUCCACUCAUUAUAGCCGGUAAGAGAAUCAAUUCAGAUUGCCUGCCCGGGAGUAGAAAGGGCAAUAGUGGGUGUAGAAGGAGCUCCCUGGCGCGGUUCCAUUCCUUAACUAUGGAAUUGGUGUAGUAUGUCGCUUUAAAGGCCUUCAAUCAAAGCUUUGUUCACUGCCUCGGAUGAGUAUUGACAUCAAAGUGUUCCUAACAGCCCUUUUCUAAAUAAUCAAUCAAGUUAUCGCUUUCUGCUAAUGGAAUAUAAUCCGUUGACUUGCAGGAGGAUUUCUCAAGUGCAUUUGAAAGCCCAUCUCUUGGAAGUUCUCUUGGUAGUAUAAUUGGAUCCCGUGCUAUUAGUAUCUCUGUAAGCCUUCGAUCCAGUUGUGUCUGAGCGAGGUAAAUGUAUCUGGCCCAUUGCCUUAUGUUAUAAGAGCUUUCUCCCUUUCUUUUUCGUGUGCAUAGAUGGAGAAAUCACGUCUGUCAGGACAUUUCUUAGGUCUAUAACGCCCCUUCCAAAUAUCUAUAGUUGGGGUUGGUUGGAUUUGAAACUAAUUGUGGAAAUCUGCCUACAAGGCUUAAAUCAAGGCAUCUGCGGAGCAAUUCCUACUUGGCUUACUUGGUUUUUAGGUAACAAGUAACUACAAGCACGAAAGGGAUUGAGCGUUAUCGAAAGCCGUUGCGCUAAGGCGCUUUAGUUUUAUGGCAGGGUUAGGUAAGAGUGAAUCAGUGUAUAGCUUUCACCGGCCGAGUAUAGGAAGUCGUUCCAACGCGCACCGAGUGUUUUUCUUUCUAUUGAUUGAGACCUAGCCUCUGGGCACUGAACUGUGGCACAGAACCGCCUUUCUAGGUAUGGGACUCGGAGCUCUAAGCGUUGAUCACAUCGCUUUCAACCCAACCCCUCGGGCUAUCGUUGCGCUCGACCAGAGAUUCUUCCCCUGACAGCUAGUUGAGGGUAACUAAGCUCAUCUACUGCUUCUAUUAUUGCACAACCAAUGACAAGCAAAGGGUAACUAAGCUCAUCUACUGCUUCUAUUAUUGCACAACCAACGACAAGCAAAGGCCAGACCUGAGCUUUAUCUGAUCGUCCACACAUUUCUUAGCAGUUAUAUAACAUGCAAAUUCUCUUUUCUGAGAUAGCAUUAUUCCUCUUCCUUCGGUUCGCGCUGUAGUUCCGUUAGCCUUAUUCGUUUGCUUUGCGGAAACAGUUUCAACGACGGUUGACUGGAAGCAGUCUUUGGAUUAGAAGGAUGCGCAACUAGUAUUGUAUUGUCUUUCUUUUUGACUCGAAGGACGUUCAGGUUCAAGUUGGAAGUUCCGAUCCUCCCCACAUAGGGCUUUCUCUAUUUUCUCAAUAGGCGGCGCAAGGCCUAGCCAUCCUUGUUGGACCCGAAGGCACGAACCUCUGAGAAAGUAGUGCAACUGGACGAUCCUAGCCGAAGUUUCCACUCGAUCUUAAUCUUUUUCACUACAGCUAUUAGCAGGCCAAAACCCCAACGUCCCAAUCCAACCUUCGUAAAACACCCAGACCUGACAGGUAACUAACGAGAAGAGAGAUGGGAACUAAGUCUAGCUGACGAUAAAAGCCCGGGAAGACCUCUUGUCUACCAGGCGAGCGGGUUCAUUGUAAAGUCUAUACGCAUCUGGAUUGCCCUACGCCGGACGAGCGAACAACGGAAGGUCAACCGCCUUAACUUCAAGGAGGUUAGGCGUUCUUUCCACUUUGUUUCAAUCAACCUAAAGGAGUACUAUCGGUUGUUUAGUGAGUACCUUAAUCUUAGCUAGGGUUUCUUCUGGUUUAGGUGGAAUCUCGCUUCGCACCUUGCCUUUCCUUUCUCUUAUGUUUGAGUGCAGUUACAUGAUUGGGAUAACUAAGCUUACUACCCAGAGCUUUCACUUCUCGCGGUUCACCACCAAUAAGUCAAUGGUCAGUAGGCAAGUUAACCGCUUUUCUCCUGGAAGGGUUUUAGCGGGUACCCCAGUGAUACUAAGUCUACGUCGAUUCUUAUCCCACGAACAACAACUUAGACUUCUGCUUAUUUCACCUUAUGCUUCUUAGGAUUCUUACUCAUAUUCUGCUUCUCUUGCUUCUUCUCGUUAUAACCCUUCUUCAUCCGGGAGAAUACCUUCCUCUUAGGUAGUCCCAAACACAAUAGAAAGACUCUUCAGCGAAUCUCCUUCCAGGAAGUGCGAAAGCUUUCUACUAUUUCCUUAUCUCUUUAGCUCAGGAUCCUACUUCCCCGCUCCGCUCCUGAUGUAGGGGUUAACACAUAAGAGUUUAAUCAACCGGUUGCAAUGAAAAACCUUUGGAAUAGCUUCGAUUCCUUGACUUUUGGAAGUAAACUGUGAGAAAGCUUUGAAAUCAGACACUGGAUCCCGAGAGUAAGUCUUUUGCAUACCCGUCAAAGGUGGACAAUGCUUACUUACUCCUGUGCUUAAUUCAGUCCAUUAGCCUUUUUGCCAAUAAAUAGUCUAUUACUUCUUUCUUCAAAUGAAGGAAAAACUCUUACAUGCGGGUCUUUCACUGAAAUAUGUUGAAAUAUGGGAUUCCUAUGACUCUGGCUUCUUACCCCUGACUUCCCACUUUCUGAGGCCUUUCCACAUCAGGAUCAGGGUAAACCUUUAAGAAACGCUCAGGGUUCCACUAUUAAUAAACCCGCAUAGUAUAAGGGAUAUUGACUCGCAUAGUCAGGGAUAUGUACGUUAUAUAAUCAAUCUUUUGGAUAACUGUUUCUAUAUCAGCUACAAUGAACGGAUUCCUUUUAUUACUAUGUUAUUAGUGUGCUGGUAUAUGGUCGGGAUAACUACUAAGCUUACUACCCAGAGCUUUAACAUCUCGCGGUUGACCAGUGUGACCUCCAUAUAUGAAUUAGCAAGGCUCAUAAUUUCAUCGGAGCCAAAGAGGCAACUAUAUAGCUCGGCUAUCGUUACAACCGUACAUAUACACUUGAAUAAAGAUACCUGAUAACAAUGCUUGAUCGUCCAAUGUAGCUUUCACUCUGACUUGUUGUUCAAUCAUCAAAUAGAAUUCAUGUUAGGCACUAAAUGACCACUAGCAUCUUCCAAAGAAAUAGCACUACCUAAUGUAUAGGAAACAUCCCUAGUUUAGGUGUGUGUGUUUUCAUGUUCUAACCUAUAGUCAACUUAGCAUACUCGCACCCUGUAUUGUAAGCGUACUUAAUUCACUCAUGUUAUCACUUUCACAGUCAAUACAUCGUAGUCAAGGUUCUUUCAAUCUUACUGAAGCUAUUAACAAUCCUAAAUCAUUGGUGGAAUAUGGAAUUUCUCACGAAUUAUUAACUGCUCUAAACGCUGCCAAUAAGCAUUCAACAUAGAUUUCGAAUAUGAAACUGCGGUACUAGAAGAUCCAACGGAAGAGAAGAAUAGGCUGCUUUGCUUUCAUUUAUCUAGCAACCUCCUAUAAGUAAGUUCUUUUUUCAAUCAUAUCCUUAGUAGUGUACACUGUAGUUAACAUUCAGCCUAGGCUUGGAUUGGCCAGCCGGCGGAUAGUCACUAGCAUCUUCUAUCGAAUCCUCAAUCUUUUAGAUCUUUUUCGGGAUGGAAGAUUGGAGGUCUAGCUGGAUCUCUCUCCAAAGAAACAAUACUCAAGCUUGCCUCCGGGUGGCCUUGGCGAAUAGAAGUAGUUCCUGUAUGGGGUGGAGGGAAGAGGAGUCGACCAAUGAUACUUACGUCGAUGUCCAGGUAUGGUGGGAAGGACUGAGUGAUCUUCGUCUGGCCGAAAGAAGCGAGGUAGGCCGGCAGAGAGUGGGAAAUAUAGGCCAAGCUACCACUGAAGUAUUUGUAGCCAGAGCCGAGUAGAGGUAUAGUAUCUAGCUAACUCAGGUGCCGGUAUUUAAUAUAACUCCUAACUCAGGAUAAGUCCAUAAUACAUAAUAGCUAGUGCAUUCCUUUCUUACAGGAUAUACGAUCUAGUGCAUUCCUUUCUUACAGGAUAAGUCCAUAAUACAUAAUAGCUAGUGCAUUCCUUUCUGAAGUAUACGAUGUAGCUAAGUAAAGGUACGAUGAAGUGCAUUACACCUAAGUAUAUAUUAAGUAAAGGUACGAUGUACCGCAUCUAGUAUCAGAGCCAAAAGCCUUAGUUCAAUUAUGACUUGCUUCAUUCGGCUUGUAUACUAUGGAUGGAAACGACUUGUAUACUAUUGGCUCAUCUCAUCUAGAUUCUGAAUUGUUUUGAUCUGCAGCAGCUGUCGUUGACGGCUUCGUUGGUUUGGUUGCUACCAGUGAAGUUAAGGAAGCGAAAGCUCACAGAAGUAGAGAUCUGAAGCCCUACGGAAUCUUGACUUUAGCAUUUCCGCCCUACGGAAUCUUGACUUUAGCAUUUCCAAAUCCCCGUCUUACCAGGUAAAGUAAUGAAGUAAUGAGUUCGAUCGAAACUGGAGAGUUAAGGCUGUUAAAGUGAAUAUACUCAUAUGUAGAUGUAGUGCUUUUCAAAGCCGACUGAUAUUGAUAUAUAAGAGAGGCUGAAGCAACUGCCUGAGCCGUGGAUCCCGUCAUAGAAGAAAUGAGAUCGAACCUAUACUAACAAGCUGCAGUUAGGAAAAUAGCAUGCUCCCUUCGUUGGCUUCUGCUUUUCUAUCUGAAUUCUCUCUAAUAACGAUAACAGGUCUAGCUUCACUAACAGUAUUCACUGCUUUCCAGAUCUCUACACCUUUCUCAUCGGCAUUCGAGAGACAAGUGUUGUAGACUAGUUUCUUUCUGUUCGCCAAAAGGCCUUGUUGACGCCCCGGUGAGCCAAUACACUUGAUUUAUCGCUUCGGGAGCGCUGCCCGUGUGCGAGCUUAGCAACCCUAUUUAAUUGAAGCAAAUCCCUGUUUCAAUGUACAAAAAGCAGAAAUGAAAGACACUUACCUUCGUCUGGAAAAUAGAGAAUAGGGCCCAUCAUGACAUACACCUUUCUUUUCAACAAAAAGAUCUCCUUAAGCGUUGGGGGGACAACGGAUUCGAGGACCAUUAACUGAGCACUUCUUGUCUUGCAAAUGCUGGUAGAUCCGUGUUCAUUGUUCUUACCGUAGGGAAUCAUAAAUCGUCGCCCAGUCAACCUCCUGUCAAAUCAAGACCUUAAAGAGUCAUCUAUAUGGAACAACGGGAAACUCAUCUUACCGGGCGAAAGGGCACAUAAAAUACUAUUCUUUCUGUAGCUUCAGCAAAAGCAUUGGACAGCUGGUCUUGCCUGCCCCAAUCAAGAAAGAGAUAUCAGUCGGCCCACACUACUUACAUCUUCAAUAUAAUAAUUCCUUUUAGUUAGAGGUCAGGUCCGCUUAACAUCACUGAUGUAGACCUUAGCCUAUACAAAAUGAGAUUCUCCUCCCCACUAGAAACUCCCUUCUGCUUUCCCACUAGAAACUCCCUUCUGCUUUCUUUUGGAAUGGAUUGAAUCGGUUUUCACUGUAUGGAAUCGAAACGGACACUUCUAUGAUUGAAAAAGCAUGACUUUUGCAGCAAGGGUUCAUGGAGAUAUUGAGUUUUCCUAAAUAGAACUAGAAAGAGCCAAUAAGAAACCUAAACCCAUCUUGAUACUUUCCUAUAAACCGAACCGGGGAAAACUCGCUGAGGACAAGAUCAAUAGUAUAAUAAGGUCCAUGCCCUUCUUCUUGUUUGCCCGGUGUUUCUUUUAUGGUGAGUGAAUAGCCGGUCUUACUGAAUGCGUAAGCGCAGUGCCCUUCGGAACUCUAUUACCAAACCUGAUUCCCAGUAACCGACGCUAUUUCAUCCGGUGCUACUGCUUGAAUAUGAGUUGCCGCUGCAGAAGACAAGAUGGACGUCACCCCAGCUAUUGAAGAAGACAGUAGGAAUCUAACUCUACAAAUAGGAUUUCUCAUUGACGUUCCUUAGAAGAAGAGUAUCCGACAAUGCUAGGAAGAUGCCCAGAAUCGGUUGUUUGCAAAUAAGUUGUUGAAGGAAGUUUCUCACUAACCGGGGUCAGUGCUCUCGUCCGAGUACCCUGGGUUUCUUUAUUAAUGAAUACCUUCUCUUCCUGAAGCGGCGAACUCUUCUUUCACCCCAAAGAUAGUAAGUGCAAUACAAUACUAAAUACGCGGAGUCCUAGCACUAGGUUUUUCUUCAAUAGGUUAGCGCGAGCACAGGAUAAAGGAACAACACUUCGACGCUGGGUAAGGUAACACAACCUCUAUCUUUGGAAUCAAUAAAGGAAGAGCUACAGGCGAGGGAUUCUUCUCGGAAGGGGACAGGCUUUAAAUUGGAGGAGCUUCAAACUCUCAGGGAAUCUAUUACGUCUGUCAAGCCACUAAAACAGGACAGCCAGAAAUGUCUCAAUUACCGCCUUAGAUCUCCUGGACUUGCUCAUAACUCAGGUACCCGGGGGCUUGCUCAUAACUCGCCGCGCAACUACUAGUCAAGUUUUGGGGAAUCCAUCUUGCGGUUCGAGCACAGAGCUCCUAAGCGCCCAGCCCCCAAAGAAAGAGUAAUGCGUGUCAGAUUAUGGUUACUUAAUUACUUAUAGAAGUGGAAGAUGGUUUUUAUCUACACUAACAGCGCCCCGAGAGUAAGCUAACGCACAACUGAACAGAACAAUACGGUUUUGGAAGCUAAUCUUUGCUGUGUUGUUAUUCAAGUCUAUAUGUGGAUAGCUGAAUUCAAUAAGCAACGGCGAACUCACUUAUGUUCUUAGUAACCUACAGAGCGCUAAAGAACUGGAAUGCCCAACUCCACCACCUACUAGAAACUCCUAUACAGUGAAACCAGAUACAAGACAGGUUCUCACUAUUUAUUGUCUGUUACUACUUAUAGUUUCUUGGCGAGUAGUAGCUUGGUGGUUUCAAAAGACACUAUCUACUUCUCAAGCAUUAACAACUAAGUCGGGACUGUAGGAAGUAAAUCAUUCAUAUCAUCUAUCUAUCGCAUAAGAUCUUGGCGCAGAAGCUCAGUAUCCGUAUAGAAGGAAUUGAGGAGCUCACUGAUGCUGAAGACAGAAACCCAUAAGAAUCUAGGUAAACAUCUUGUCUCGCGCUUACCGCUUCUGAUCUCGUUGACUUAACAAGAACAUCAAUAUAUUCCAGUACAAAUGGCGCUUGAGCUUGAUGGUUCAUCUGCUCCAUAUUCUGAUCCUGCACUUUCACCGUGAACUCUAAACUCCCUUAGCAAUGAGAUUGAACUGAUUGAAACUGCAUUGCAUGUAUCACAGGAAUUGAAGAACCCUUAGAGCCCACUUGGGAACAAAGAAGGAAAUUGAGCCCAUCUAUUCCACUACGCACAACUGUCACUCUUUUAGACGAUGAAGACAGGCGAAUACAGCACUCGUUUUACCAGGCGAAUACAGCACUCGUUUUACCUGGAUUAACAACGUGUUUUAGGGCGUUACUACAAAUUCGGGUCUCUUCGAUCCACUCCUCUCGAAGUUAUGAAUUGGAAUAUCCAUCUUACGCUUCGCUCUAACAGUAUCUGGAUCUGCAGUAUCUGUCGUUAAAGGUAGUCAAAGGAUAUGCAUAUGGACGAGUAUGGGCAUAAGUAGCCACCGUCGGUUUAUGGGCAUCAUGAAAUGUUGUAGAUAGUGGUUCUUCUCUAAGGGGGUCAGGGUAUUACCAUGGAUAGUCAGGAUGUUUCAUUUGGUGAUCGUGAUAGGGAUUCAGAUCUUUAUAUAGUCCACUCUGUUGAUUCAGUAGAUCUGGCCGGUUGAACGCUUUCUAGCAGCACCAAAAGCUUCGGUAGUUGUAUGGGGUUUCAAGUGGAUAUGGCUGUUGGUUUAUGAAAUCCCGAUUUGAACAUCCAGAUGAGUGGGCAGAAAUACCUUACUUCUCUUCUCUGAUCCACUAUUGUCUUCUCCUCUCUAUGGAGCUCUCCCACUCUAACCCUAUCUAUCAUUGCUAAUAACUUGUUGAACCUUGGGAUAGAACCAUAUAGAUCAAUCACCUCAUACAUAACAUAGGAUGAGAUUACACAAGUAGCAGAGAAGGCACCUACCUUUAAGCCGGCUUGUAAGUGAAAGGUCUCGCUCGCUAUAAACCGAAACCUUGGUCGUUCCCGUAUCAUCGAAUUAAUAGCUUUGGUUUUGAUCUUGGUCUUCCCUUUCACCUUCGAAAUAUCGGAUUCGUCUAUACUUUUUAGCAGACGAGUCACAAAAAACCUACGGAUCUGUAGGCGUCGGAGCAAGCGGUUAAGGCCACGGGCAAGAAUAAGAUGACUCCCCGGAAUAGGAUGCUUAGAAUAGGGCAGCACUUAAGUGGAUAAGUGGAUACUCAACAUCUAUUUUCUGUCUCGUUCGCUACUUCAGGUCAACAUGACGCAAUUGGUGAAGUUUGAAUUAUGACUAUAGCAGCCACCUAUCUCAUCUCGGGGGGAAGGCCCCACUAGAAAUUGUGAAGAGGACCCGCUCGCGUCGCAUGCUCGAUCUAGCCCAAUUGGUUGGAUGAGCGGCAGAUCCCUUACUCCGGAAGGAAUCCAAAGUCAGUAAGUCUGGUUUCUAGUUUAGUCUAACACAGUGUCUUUGCUUUCUCCGUUCACGUCACGUUUGCAUUUGCAAAGAGGUCUAAUAAGUCUCCGUUUGUUUUCAGUGUAACCUACGGACAACCAAAGUCUAAGAGAGAAAGGGUAUGACGAGUGGAUUUUUACCCGAAUCUGUCUCCAAUUCAGCUAGGGUCUUUCUUUCUUCUUCACAGCCAGAAAGUGGCGAAGGCAAGAGGUAUAAUAGGUAUUUUGGCUGCCUGAUUGACUGCUUCCAAUUGAAAGGAGAGACUUGAGCUCGCUUUAAUGAAUAAGUCGGGAGAGGAGGGCCUCUUUGUUUUGUUACAACACUUAAGGACUUAGGGAUCCCUCAAAGGACUGGGUUCAGGCUAAACCAAGUCUUCGUCUACCCUUUAUCGAACCAGAUCCAUGCCUUGGGCUUGAGUCCCCGCUUCGGUAGGAGUGGCAUUAUACAUUUCGAAAUUCCUAAUUGGAUCAUACAGAGGUUGUGCUUAUUCAACGACCCCUUCUGGUUUUAGCUCUGACAAACUGCCCGGAUAGCUUACGCUUACAAUCUAGUACAGGUGGUUAGGUUGAAAGAAUCAAUGGCAAUAGAAUUCCUGCUCAGGUUCAAUGUUACUCGUUGGCACUUGUUGAUGCGCUACUACUAGCAGUUCCACUUUUGCAGCCCUUUGCAGUAGACUAGCCCUUGAGAAAGAGAUUCAAUAGCACCGGUAAAAGAGCUAGCUUUCUCUUUAAUUACUUCAUCCUUUCUAUAUCCCUCUCCUUUGUUCGAUGUUACUCAUCAAAUGGCAACUCCGUUCAUAUCUUCGAUCAUUUACAAGGUUCAAGAAAGGGGUGGGGAAAUCUUAGUUGAGGUAGCGCGCUUCUUGUUAGGCAGGAAAUGCACCACCUUUUUUUCUGUUAUUUGAAGACCACGCAGCGGUAUACAUUGCGGCAGGCAGACGGGUUCAUUAAGAAGUCAAUUUGAAGUCAAUGUAGGUGCGGGCCGGUGUCCAUCCCGACAUGGGAACAUUUCUUUUCUUUGUAAAUGUCCUUCCAUUUUGCCCUUGGUAGGGAAGGAAAAAAGGUUGCUUGGCCCCUUUUUGAUGUUCAAGUAUAUGUUUGGAGUUCCAUCCUUCUGGUUAAUAGUAGAUUGCCGGUUACUUGUUUCUGUGGGUUAAUAGCCCGGUUAUUACUUGACAAAACUCACCUAUCUCUCCGCUCGGGUAAAGCAUGUAGUUCAUAUAAGAUAACUUCAUACUUAAUUGAAGAAUUCAAAGCAGUAGUGACAGACCCAAACCCAACUCGAUCGUAGCACUUUAGAGCUAUGGGAAACAACUCCUCUGCGUAACCGACUGGCUUUUAGGCGGGAAGUAGAGAAUUUCCUGUUACAAAAGGUGAGUUACUGGGUUAUCAAUGAGUGACUGGGUUAUCAUAAGUGCUAGUGUUGUUGGUUCUUAUAAUAUAAUAAUAAUUGCCUAGCAAACAAAUAAUUGAGAAAAUGAGAUAUACCUGCUCUACCUGUCGAAAAGAAGCAGUGCUAGGAAAGCAGUCAGCAUCAGUGAGAGAUAGAUCCAAUUAUGAAAGUAUAGAGUCCGGGUUAAGU
rnacentral:lncRNA from 1 species